rnacentral:rRNA from 1 species
UGUAUGGGGAUCUGCCCGAUAGAGGGGAAUAACUACUGGAAACGGUGGCUAAUACCGCAUAAUGUCUACGGACCAAAGCAGGGGCUCUUCGGACCUUGCACUAUCGGAUGAACCCAUAUGGGAUUAGCUAGUAGGUGGGGUAGAGGCUCACCUAGGCGACGAUCUCUAGCUGGUCUGAGAGGAUGAUCAGCCACACUGGGACUGAGACACGGCCCAG